AGAAGGAUGUUAGGUGGAUCAAUUUACAGCAGUCUAAAGCUGUUUACAAGCAUAUAGGCAGUUUAAAACAAAUAAUAUGUUAAGAAGGUCUCAACAGAGAAACAAGUUUUAUUACCAGCUACUAAAGUAGUAAAAAAUGACAUUUUCACUAGAAUAUUAUCUGUGCUGUACUUUCUAAUGCCCAGCUUGGGAAAAGAUGCAGAGAAUUUGAGGGGAAAAAAAGUAAGGAAAACAUGCCCCACUGGAAUGAAAAGGGAGGAGGGAAAGAUUUGUCUGAAACACUCACCUGCUGGAAGGUUAAAGUAUCAGAGGGAACGUUUUCUGACAGCAACCUUUGGAUGAGGAAUUAGUUGUACUCUUUUGUUUGGAGCAUGCUGUUUUGCAUAGGUAGUUCUCCUAUGGAAAAUUCUGCUACAGCGUGAUUAGCAGCAAGGGUAUUUCAGGGAUAGACUAGUGCUUUGUUCUAUUUGAUUUAGGUGGGUAUUGCUAUAGAGAGAUUUGAUUUUUAAUUUGUAUGGUUGUGAGUGUCACAAAACAGUUUUAAACAUUUAAGGCUAAUUCAGAAAAGAGACUUCUGUGCCACUGUGCAAAAUACUGGAGGUGCCUCACUUUUAAGUGAUUGGUCUCCUGACUGGAAUCCAAACCCUGACAGGAACUGUUCAGUGUAGAGAUGUAUUUAAAAUCUAUUCACUCUCCAGAGUAUAGAUGACCUACCAGAGGCACAUAAAUUUUAAUUUUAUCUGCUUCAGAAUACUCGUGUGAAAAGAUAUGUUGACAGUUGUUCUUUAAAAAGAAAAGAAAGCAGGGGAGAACUGGACCCCAUUAGUUGCAUUUCUGUAGUGGUAAUGGGAGCUGACUCCUUACGUACAGCUUAAGUCAUGAAAGUCCACAGUAUUUUAUACAUUUUACCCUGUUCAUGUUUCAUGAAAAUACAUAAAUAACAUCUGAAAUAGAUGCUUCACUCAGUAGGUUCUCCCUGAUGAUUGGCUGGCUCACUGCAGACAGCCUGAGAAGUUAAGAAAUGUACUUUUGAUCUUUUUGUAACAUCAGUGAAAUGGAAUUAGCGGGAAUAGUUUUAACUUCACAAUUUGCUGGAAGACAAAGGAAACAACAACCACCAAUUGGAAGGAGCCCUGCUGCUCUUCAGGACAUGCGGGAAUUAGCAGACAGAAGUGGAAGAAACUUUUUUGUUUUCCUCUGACAGGACAACUAGACUGAAGCAGGGAAAGUAUGGAAGAGGAAAUCUGAAUAUUACGCAUCUUGACAAUGGACUCUUACAUAGUGAAACAGCAUUUAGCAUUAUUAAAAUAUAAUAUGCUCCUAAUAAUAUGUCUGUUUUCUUGGACAGACAACAAGCAGCUGUGUUUCCUUGAUGCAGAAGUGGAAACAAACAGCCAGAAAAUUCAGCACAGAAAUGAAGCUUUAAAAACAGAGGAAAGCCAGUCCAGCGCUUCUUUCUUUUGUACUGUGAUGUUGUGGUUGCUCUGUUUUCCAUGAAUAAAAUGUGAAUAAGAACUUU